rnacentral:lncRNA from 1 species
AUAGCCGUGCCAGAAUUCUCUGCCAGCUGCUGUGCACUGCUGUCAGUGCAAAGAUGGGAUGGACUUUUUUUUCAGAUUUUCUGCUGUUGUGGGAGUAUGGCAAGAGUUUGAGGGGGCGGAGAAAGAGAUUGGGAAUGUGAAAAGGGAAGAUAGCACCUGCGCUAAGCACAUUCCUAGGAUUGGGCCGCGUCUCGGGGAUGCAGAGUGGGCUCUUCGGCGCGCCCUGCAGCCAUGGGAGUGGACGCCUGCCCAGGCCGAAGGGCAAGGACUUGCGGGGUGGGGUCUCUGUGCAUGCGCGGAGCUGAAAGGGAGCGUUUUGCAGAUCUCCACGCGUGCGCAACUCUCGGGACGUGGACGCGGUGAACAGUUACGCACAAUCGUCUUUCUGACACAAACACACCCUGCCAGGUGGAAGCCAGGAUGGAGGGCAGGUGAGACCCGUAAGGCAAGAUCCCAAAACCAAGGAACGGAGCACUCUCCCCGCUUGCUCCCCAGAUCCAAGCCCUCCACUUCCUUCCAAUGCCCCCCUUCCCGAAACUGCUCCCUCCUGUAUAUUCUGAGAUCUUAUCACUAUUCCCGUGAGGCCCUUGAUAAGGAGGAUUGAGAGUGAAGGGUGAUGGGAGACACGCCUUGGGCGUCUUCUGUCCACCUCAAGGAUUGAACUUUGGUAACUGGAACUCAUUCAUUUGUUAAUCUGUGUGCUAGGCCCUUUGACCCGCUGGCCAGAUGCACCGGGACACAGGUGUAUUCAGCCUGGUCCAGAGAUAAGGAUGAUAAAUCUUAAUGUAAAGGUAUCAGAUGUUAAGGGCUGCAGGAGCCCAGAGGUUACAAGUGCUGCAAGCCAGAACAUGGGGAAACAACAGCAAUUAAGCCGUUAGCUUGUGCCUUGGAGGGGUGUUUGCCCUGCACCCCACUCACUACCUGAAGAUAAAUGGCUUCUCCAACGUGUAGUGGGGUUGGGAUGAUGAGGAUGACAUCACUGCCAGGUGGGAGGCAGGAGCUGCAGGUCCUGACAUGAUGAGGCAGGCCUCGCCUUCUGUCCCGGAUCCGCCAAUCCUCCGAUCCCUGGAUCCUCUGAUGAUGGCAUCAACUGUCUGGGCUACAGGUUGCUCUCCAAAGAGUGGCUGCCCCUCUACACCAACCUCACUGUGGACAUAACUUCCAAGCCUCAGGAGACCCAGUGCAAAGCUGAGGGGUAUCUUAUCUGGAAGCCAGAAAGAGCCCCUGAGGCCAAGGUCACAGGGAAGCCCUCCCACUCACCCCACCUGGUUUCUUUUAAAAGUAGAGUUUAUUUUAUCUCCUUUCUGCCAUCCCUAAUUCCUUCCUUCCAUCUGUCCAUCCAUCUUCUUUCCCCUCCCUCCCUUCCUCCCUUCUCCUUCUCCUCCUCCCCACACCUGCUUCUUUUCUCUUUCUUUCAACUAUGUCCAGAAGGUCCUUCUUAACAAACACUAAUUAGUACAGGGAAAGGUCUCUUUAAGUGAAUGCAUUUAAAAUAGGGAGUCCACCUUUGUGGUAAAUAGUGUGCACGAGGUGAGUCUGGAUCAGGACUUCACACUUGAUAACGGAAUUCAAUUUCUCAAAAUACCUUUAUUUCAGAUUUAAUGAAAUUCCAUGUUUGUUGAAUCAUUAAGAACGAGCAUUUGUGUUGUACUCAUGGUGGACAGCCACCAUUCUAAUGCUUGACUUUACAUAAUUAACGCAUGUAAUCUGCAAAGGAGCCACAAGGCGAGAUCUAUUAUUAUUCCCAUUGUGCUGCUGGAGAAAUUAAGGCAGAGAGGUUAAGUUGCUUGCCACCAAACUAGCGAGGGGCAGAGCUGGGAUGUGUAGCAUCCAGGUAGGUUGGCUCCAGAGCCCAUGAGCCUAACUACUACUGUGCCCAACCUUUGUGCCAAUCGCCACAACAGUCAAAGGAUGGAUCAAGUACUGGUUUUGGGGGUGGGGGCAGGGGACUCUGGGCAGUAUGUUUUCUGAUCACAUCACAUGACAGUAGGACAUUCUUCAUUUCACCAUGGCUUUCACUGCCCAACAAUAAAAAGGUCAUGGGCACUUUGGGAGGCCGAGGGGGGGGGAUCACGAGGUCAGGAGAUCGAGACCAUCCUGGCCAACACGGUGAAACCCCGUCUCUACUAAAAAUACAAAAAAUUAGCCAGGCAUGGUGGUGGGCGCCUGUAGUCCCAGCUACUCGGGAGGCUGAGGCAGGAGAAUGGCGUGAACCCGGGAGGCGGAGCUUGCAGUGAGCUGAGAUCGUGCCACUGCACUCCAGAGCCUGGGCGACAGAGCGAGACUCCAUCUCA